rnacentral:rRNA from 1 species
GCAUGUCUACCGUGUGGAAAGUUUUUCGGUCUGGGAUGGGCUCGCGGCCUAUCAGCUUGUUGGUGAGGUAAUGGCUCACCAAGGCGACGACGGGUAGCCGGCCUGAGAGGGCGACCGGCCACACUGGGACUGAGACACGGCCCAGACUCCUACGGGAGGCAGCAGUGGGGAAUAUUGCACAAUGGGCGAAAGCCUGAUGCAGCGACGCCGCGUGAGGGAUGACGGCCUUUGGGUUGUAAACCUCUUUCAGCAGGGAAGAAGCGCAAGUGACGGUACCUGCAGAAGAAGCACCGGCUAACUACGUGCCAGCAGCCGCGGUAAUACGUAGGGUGCGAGCGUUGUCCGGAAUUAUUGGGCGUAAAGAGCUUGUAGGCGGUCUGUCGCGUCUGCUGUGAAAAUCCGGGGCUCAACCCCGGACUUGCAGUGGGUACGGGCAGACUAGAGUGUGGUAGGGGAGACUGGAAUUCCUGGUGUAGCGGUGAAAUGCGCAGAUAUCAGGAGGAACACCGAUGGCGAAGGCAGGUCUCUGGGCCAUAACUGACGCUGAGAAGCGAAAGCAUGGGGAGCGAACAGGAUUAGAUACCCUGGUAGUCCAUGCCGUAAACGUUGGGAACUAGGUGUGGGUCUCAUUCCACGAGAUCCGUGCCGCAGCU